CCUAGGCAAGGCUUGCACCUCUACGUUGGUGUCUAGGACUAGUAGUCGUACAUCGGACGGCGAAGCCAAGCAAGC
rnacentral:ribozyme from 1 species